rnacentral:tRNA from 1 species
CACUGAGAAGCUUUUACAGCAUCAGCCUUUUAAGCUGAAGAAGAAACCACACUUUCCUCAGUGA